GAGAAGAGGAGGGCAGCUUCACCAAGGCCACAGCUUCGCUCGCUCCUGGCCAAGGGAGCUAGUUAUUUUGCCAUGGCCUUGAUUGCAACAGCUGCCUCCUCUGUCAUGGCAGACAGCACCGUGAUCUGGAGAAGCAAGAGGGAUAGCCAAGAGAUGUCUGAGCUCAGGAAGAAACGUACAGAACAAAGCUGAGCACAGAAGCAGGGAGGGAGGCACCAUACCAGGAUCUCUUCUCCACAGUCGUACUUCUGCUCAAUCUCCUUGCCAAGGUCUCCCUCAGGGAGACGAAGGUCCUCUCGUACCUCCCCGCUGUCCUGGAGCAGUGAUAGGUACCCAUCCUGGAUGCCAAUCAGCUGGGGGCAGAUAGGGAAGGAGGCUGAAGGUA
rnacentral:lncRNA from 1 species